GACGAACGCUGGCGGCGUGCUUAACACAUGCAAGUCGAACGAAGAGCGAUGGAAGCUUGCUUCUAUCAAUCUUAGUGGCGAACGGGUGAGUAACGCGUAAUCAACCUGCCCUUCAGAGGGGGACAACAGUUGGAAACGACUGCUAAUACCGCAUACGAUCUAAUCUCGGCAUCGAGGAUAGAUGAAAGGUGGCCUCUACAUGUAAGCUAUCACUGAAGGAGGGGAUUGCGUCUGAUUAGCUAGUUGGAGGGGUAACGGCCCACCAAGGCGAUGAUCAGUAGCCGGUCUGAGAGGAUGAACGGCCACAUUGGGACUGAGACACGGCCCAGACUCCUACGGGAGGCAGCAGUGGGGAAUCUUCCGCAAUGGACGAAAGUCUGACGGAGCAACGCCGCGUGAGUGAUGACGGCCUUCGGGUUGUAAAGCUCUGUUAAUCGGGACGAAAGGCCUUCUUGCGAAUAGUUAGAAGGAUUGAC
rnacentral:rRNA from 1 species